rnacentral:rRNA from 1 species
GACGUAGGGUCCAAGCGUUGUCCGGAUUUACUGGGCGUAAAGAGCGCGUAGGCGACUCGUUAAGUGUGGUGUGGAAUCUCCAGGGCUCAACCCGGAAACUGCACCGCAUACUGGCGAGCUUGAGGAAUGCAGAGGUAACUGGAAUUCCUGGUGUAGCGGUGAAAUGCGUUGAUAUCAGGAGGAAUACCGGUGGCGAAGGCGGGUAACUGGCCUAACACUGACACUCAGACCCGAAAGCGUGGGGAUCAAACAGGAUUAGAAACCCUUGUAGU